AGUCUUCAGGGCAGGGUGAAAUUCCCGAUUGGCGGUAAAGUCCGCGAGCAAUUUUUUGCAGGAUUUGGUGAAAUUCCAAAACCAACAGUUAUAGUCUGGAUAGAAGAAGAUA
rnacentral:ncRNA from 1 species